UCUUGGUCCAAUUAGAGGAAGUAAAAGUCGUAACAAGGUCUCCGUUGGUGAACCAGCGGAGGGAUCAUUACCGAGUUUACAACUCCCAAACCCCUGUGAACAUACCACUUGUUGCCUCGGCGGAUCAGCCCGCUCCCGGUAAAACGGGACGGCCCGCCAGAGGACCACUAAACUCUGUUUCUAUAUGUAACUUCUGAGUAAAACCAUAAAUAAAUCAAAACUUUCAACAACGGAUCUCUUGGUUCUGGCAUCGAUGAAGAACGCAGCAAAAUGCGAUAAGUAAUGUGAAUUGCAGAAUUCAGUGAAUCAUCGAAUCUUUGAACGCACAUUGCGCCCGCCAGUAUUCUGGCGGGCAUGCCUGUUCGAGCGUCAUUUCAACCCUCAAGCACAGCUUGGUGUUGGGACUCGCGUUAAUUCGCGUUCCCCAAAUUGAUUGGCGGUCACGUCGAGCUUCCAUAGCGUAGUAGUAAAACCCUCGUUACUGGUAAUCGUCGCGGCCACGCCGUUAAACCCCAACUUCUGAAUGUGACCUCGGAUCAGGUAGAAACCCCAAUUG
rnacentral:rRNA from 1 species